UGACGUCAUCAGGACCAUCUGGGAGCUGGAAUCUGUGUCGAGAGAGGGAGAAAACGAUGAGCCGUUUGGGCUGCCAGAGAGUACAGGGCUGUACUCCAGAUGCAGAGCAGCCGCAUUGUCCUUGGAGGCUGCCUUUCCACAAGAGGCUCAGCCCAACGCUGUUUAACAUGAAGGUCACGCCUGGAGGUUGUAUGUAUUCCAGUUCAUGGGGGGAAAGGACAGAUCCCAUUCACCAGCCUCACCACAAGAAACCAGUGGCACUGGAAACACCCCAGACACUCCAACUCCUGCCUGUCAGCUCCUGCCCACAGCCCAGCUCCCAGAGCUCUUACUGUUUUGGCAGAUCCAGGGGUUCUUCUCCCUGGCUGUGACUUCGUGAGCCUCUGUCUCCUCCUCUUCCUCACCCUCUGAGAGAAGGUCAGAGAUCUGCUGCUGCAGCUCGGGACUAAUGUUAUUCUCCGCCAGGAUGAGUGUCCGUAGGGCUGUGGGGUAGUUCUCUACCAUGUCCAGCAAGGUCUGGGCGGAGAGUGAAAUAAACAGGCUGAAGCAGCACAAACAGCA